AGCCGCCACGGUAAUACGUAGGUGGCAAGCGUUGUCCGGAAUUAUUGGGCGUAAAGGGCUCGCAGGCGGUUUCUUAAGUCUGAUGUGAAAGCCCCCGGCUCAACCGGGGAGGGUCAUUGGAAACUGGGAAACUUGAGUGCAGAAGAGGAGAGUGGAAUUCCACGUGUAGCGGUGAAAUGCGUAGAGAUGUGGAGGAACACCAGUGGUGAAGGCGACUCUCUGGUCUGUAACUGACGCUGAGGAGCGAAAGCGUGGGGAGCUAACAGGAUUAGAUACCCCGGUAGUCCCUGUCUCUUAUACA
rnacentral:rRNA from 1 species